AGCGAACGCUGGCGGCAGGCCUAACACAUGCAAGUCGAACGAACUCUUCGGAGUUAGUGGCGGACGGGUGCGUAACACGUGGGAACGUGCCUUUUGGUUCGGAAUAACUCAGGGAAACUUGUGCUAAUACCGAAUGUGCUCUUCGGGGGUAAGAUUUAUCGCCAUUUGAGCGGCCCGCGUCUGAUUAGCUAGUUGGUGAUGUAACGGCUCACCAAGGCGACGAUCAGUAGCUGGUCUGAGAGGAGGACCAGCCACACUGGGACUGAGACACGGCCCAGACUCCUACGGGAGGCAGCAGUGGGGAAUCUUGCGCAAUGGGCGAAAGCCUGACGCAGCCACGCCGCGUAAAUGAUGAAGGUCUUAGGAUUGUAAAAUUCUUUCACCGGAGACGAUAAUGACGGUACCCGGAGAAGAAGCCCCGGCUAACUUCGUG
rnacentral:rRNA from 1 species